GUGAUAUGUGGCAAGCUAGGAGUGGAGAGUUUAGACGGUGGGUCAUUUUGAAGUGGGUGGGAGGUGAUAAGAUUGUUAGGAAAUGAAGGCAAGGGGCCACGUGUGGAAUUAGGUGAGAAGUUUAAUGGUUGAUGUGUCAUGGGUGGAGAGCAUGAUAAGGCAUUUGGUAUUCCAAGUGAAAAAGUGUGAGGGGUUGGAUAUGGAGAGGAGUUGGGGGCUUCUUUGCAACACGCAUUGGCAGUAGUGAGAAAGGUGAAGGGGUGAAUUCAUUGUCGAGAAAUCGGGGCGGUGGGAAAAUUCUAGAUGGAGGUGUUGGGCCAUGAUAGGGAUGAAGAAGAGAGACAUGGAAUACAGGGUGAAUGCAUGACAAAUGGGGAAUUUGCAACUCAUAAGCUACAACUUUGAUGUGGUGAAGGAUUACGAAGGGGUUGAAGUAUCGUUUGGCUAACUUGGCCAACAACUGGGACACGACAAACAACUAUCAGUACAGGUGGAGGCGUAGCCAGACCUAGUCACCUUCCUUAAAGGUACAAUCGCAUCUCUUCUUGUUUGCUUAGGCAACCAUACUUUGGUGAGAUCUAUGGAGAUUUUCUUUUUAAAUUUUGUAACCCAUUUUGGCGUUCUUGGAGAGAAUCUUUGGGGGUGAGCCUCGAGGUAGAUUCUAGAACAAGAUUUGAGAGACACAGAGGAAAACGUCCAUAAAGAGCCUGAAAGGGUGACAUGUCUAUGGUAGUGUGGUACAAUGUGUUGUGCCAAAACUCAACGAGGUGGAGGAAAGUAUAUCAACAUUGAGAAUAAUCAAAAACAAAACAAUGCAAUUAAGCUUCUAAAGAUUGAUUCACAAUUUCCAAUUGAUCGUUAGUUUUGGGAUGAUAUGCUAUGCUGUAACACAAGGUGGUGCCUUAUAGGUAGAAAAAUUCCUUCCGGAAUGUACUGAUGAAGAGAGGGUUGCGAUUUGAAGUGAUAGAUUUAGUCACUAUAUAAAAAUGAAAAAUCUCAACGGAGAAACGUUGCGCCAGAUCUUUUGCUAAGAAGUGGGUAGGUAACCCCAAAAAAUGCAUAUACUUAAUUAAUCGAUCUCAAAGGACCCAAUUAACGAUAUGGCCAAAUGAGCACGACAAGUGGGUAACGAAAUCCAUGGUGAUCUCCUCCCAAACCUUGUGUGGAACAGGCUGACUAGUAAAAAGAAGUGACCAAACUAGCCACCAUGGGUUUUACUCUCAAGUGGUUGACAUAUGGGGUGGAGUGAAAUUCCUGAAUCGAAGAAGCACACAAGUCAUCUAUGGUCGGAAUGUACAAACGAUUGUGAAAAUAUACAAGGCCAUGAGUAACAUGAAAAGAUCCCUGCAUAUAUCGGGAUUUGCAUCAAUUUGUUGUAUAAAAUCGAUAACAUUUGGAACUUUAGCAAAGUAGUGGCACAAAUGAGUGAUGAUAGCAAGAAUGGGUGAAGUAACCAAAAGGAAUGUUGAAAUAGCACAAAACUACUGGAUUUGCUCAAGUGUUAAGUUUUCCAAGUUUGUAAAAAAUAUCAAAACUAUAUACCCUUGAAUUUGCAAGUCCACUUUUGUUGCUUUGGGGUUUGAAUA